UUAAGUUACGAACGGCAUAUGGUGGAUGCCUAGGCACAAGGAGGCGAAGAAGGACGUGGUAAGCUGCGAUAAGCCACGGUGAGGUGCACACAACCUUAGACCCGUGGAUAUCCGAAUGGGGCAACCCGGCUCUGGUCAUGCGGAGUCAUUCCGACUUGUCGGGAGGCGAACCCAGGGAAGUGAAACAUCUAAGUACCUGGAGGAUAAGAAAACGAAGUGAUUUCCUUAGUAGCGGCGAGCGAAGAGGAAGGAGCCUAAACCUUAACACAUGUAAUAGCCUGCAAGCGUUGUGUGUUAGGUGUAGUGGGUCAUAGACGUUUGUAUUUGCAGAUACAAAGUGAAGUCAUAAAUCUGCAAGAUAGUCGAAGUUGUCUGGAAAGUCACACCGUAGGAGGUGAGAGUCCUGUAGGCGAAAUUUUGCAGACUUCAUUGUUUAUGUACCCGAGUACUGCGGGACACGAGAAAUCCUGUAGGAAUCAGCCCGGCCCAUCGGGUAAGGCUAAAUACUUCCUUGUGACCGAUAGCGUAUAGUACCGUGAGGGAAAGGUGAAAAGCACCCCGAGAGGGGAGUUAAAAGUACCUGAAACCAUAUGCCAACAACCAGUUGGAGUCCGCCAGCCGGCGGAUGACAGCGUGCCUUUUGCAUAAUGAGCCAGCGAGUUGCUCGUACGUAGCCAGGCUAAGGGUUUAAGACCUGUAACCGAAGCGAAAGCGAGUCUGAAUAGGGCGAAUGAGUUACGUGCGGCAGACGUGAAGCCGGGUGAUCUACCCAUGUCCAGGAUGAAGCGGCAGUAAGAUGUCGUGGAGGUCCGAACCAGGAGAUGUUGAAAAAUCUUUGGAUGAGGUGUGGGUAGGGGUGAAAGGCCAAUCAAACCCGGAGAUAGCUCGUUCUCCCCGAAAUAGCUUUAGGGCUAGCCUCGAUAAAAAAAUGUCACGGAGGUAGAGCACUAAUAGGGUUAGGGGGCCCACCGGCCUACCGCCCCCUGUUAAACUCCGAAUGCCGUAGACAUGUUCAUCGGGAGUCAGCGUGUGUGGGAUAAGCUUCAUACGCGAGAGGGAAAGAACCCAGACCAUCGGCUAAGGUCCCCAAGUUACAGCUCAGUGAUAAAGGAUGUUGGGCCGCCCAGACAACCAGGAUGUUGGCUUAGAAGCAGCCACCAUUUAAAGAGUGCGUAAUAGCUCACUGGUCAAGCAGUUUGGCGCCGAUAAUUUUCGGGACUAAGCUGUACACCGAAGCCAUGGUCCCGAUACAUUAGUAUCGGGAGGUAGGGGAGCAUUCCAUUAACCGUCGAAGGUGAAUCGCGAGGUUUGCUGGAGGAAAUGGAAAAGAGGAUGCUGGCAUAAGUAGCGACAAAACAGGUGAAAAACCUGUUCACCGAAAAUCUAAGGUUUCCUGAGUAAAGUUAAUCUGCUCAGGGUUAGUCGGUCCCUAAGGCGAGGCCGAGAGGCGUAGUCGAUGGGAAACGGGUUAAAUAUUCCCGUACCAGUUUUAAUUUGUUUGAGUGAAGUGGUGACGCAGAAGUGAAAGGUCAUCCGUCUGACGGAAUAGGCGGUUUAAGCAUGUAGGAAGGAAGCGCAGGCAAAUCCGCGCUUUUGUUAAUUCUGAGAUGCGAAUAGGAGGGCCUAGCCCACAAACUGACCCUAAUCCAGCUGCCAAGAAAAGCUGCUAAACGAGAAUUAAAGCUGACCGUACCGUAAACCGACACAGGUAGAUGAGGAGAGAAUCCUAAGGUGCUCGAGAGAGCCUUGGUUAAGGAACUCGGCAAAAUAACUCCGUAACUUCGGGAGAAGGAGUGCCAGGAUCUGUGAAGAAAUUUACUUUUAGAGCGGAUCCGGGCCGCAGUGACCAGGCCCAAGCGACUGUUUACUAAAAACACAUGUCUCUGCUAAGUCGUAAGACGACGUAUAGGGACUGACACCUGCCCGGUGCCGGAAGGUUAAGGGGAACGCUUAUCGUCUUCGGACGAGAAGGUGUGAACUGAAGCCCCGGUAAACGGCGGCCGUAACUAUAACGGUCCUAAGGUAGCGAAAUUCCUUGUCGGGUAAGUUCCGACCUG
rnacentral:rRNA from 1 species